rnacentral:lncRNA from 1 species
GAUACUGCAACAGAUUAUGACACAUGGGUACCCCAUGAAACAAGUAAUGAAAAAGGAAAUAUACAAGGAUGUCUGCUGGGAAAUAAAGAAACGUUUAAAAAAGUAAAAAAAGACUCAUGGUAUGUUAAAAGUGUUGAGUGAAUUGAGAUUUUUUAUACAAUAGGAGUUUUUCUCCUGUUUUGUAGCAAGUACAAAUAAAUUUCAUAACUUAGUGGUAUCCUUAACUUAACCCGACAAUUGAAACUUUAUCAUUGUUUCUAAUAUCUCAAAGAAUUCAAUAUACAUUUAGUUGAAACACUGACAGCAAACAGGACCCCAAAAUGAACUGGUUAGGAAACAGAAAUAUUCAUAUCGUAUUCGGCCGUGUAUAGUACGCAUUUAUACAUAGUCCGCACCCCCUCUUCAUCCCCUUAAAAUCGAGAAAAAAAAGUUUUGUAAAAAAGUUUUUUUUUUUUGUUUUUUUUUUUAUAAAAGUGAAGUUCACUGUAAAAAUCCAAAUGUAUUUAAUAGAAAAAAAAAUGUGUUUUUUUUUUUUUUUUUAAAUAAUAAAAUGGUAGAGCUUUUCAUCAGGUAAUUCAUAUUUGAUAAUUUUAUAAAAGUAGUUAUCAUCAAAAGAUCUCUUUUAAAAUCAACAUUUGUCUAAGUUUGUCCAAGCUGAUAUAUAAUAUAACAGAAAUAAUUUGAAUAUUAUGGAACAAAAGAAAAAAGAGAUCAAACAUUUAUCUAAACUAAUUAGCAGUAAUCAAAAUUUUAAAACUAUUUAAUCUUAUAUAAUCUUUUCAUUGAUCAUGUUGUUUUUUUGCCUGGGAUUAUAAUAUCUAACACCUGUCAAAACUUGACAUCAUAAUUUAAUUGCUACACACCCAUACUUAAUCCUUAAUUACCCGUCUUAAUUACCUAUGCAGGAUGUCACACUUUCACUUUGAAUAAUCAAUUUUGAAGAGAAAAGUUAAAAAAGAAUAAGAUUUGAAUGAAAUAAAUAUCAUAAACGUCUCCAAUAUUCAUAAUUCAGGGAAAAAAAAAGAAAAAAAAAAGAUUUUUUUUUUUUAUGAAUUUCGAAAACCGUCUUUAGUUGUGUAUAGUCCACAUCCCUUGUACAAACUACAUAUUUAAGGAAAAAAAGUGCGGACUCUACAUGCCCAAAUACGGUUUAACGCUUUAUUGAAAUGAUUCAUUAUGUUCAAGUUGAAUAGUUAAUCAAUACAAAACUGUUAAAUAUGUCUGAAUUUUUGUCCUUUUGAAGGUGCUAUAAUGGUGCAGAUCACCCAUUGGAACAUACAGGAGAAGCAUGUACAUGUGUCAGGGAUGAUUAUGAAUGGUAAGAUAUGUAUAAUGGCUAGUGUUGUGAUAUAUUGAGUUAAUUGUCAUAAUAGAGAUGUCAGAGACAUAUAAUGCCAAAUUUUUAAAACUGCUAUAUUAAAUACAGAUAUAAUAUUAGACUGUAUAAUUAUAUUUUUAUCAAUCACCUCUUUAAAGAUUUUCUCCACUACAGCAUAUUUUCAAUCAACGCUUGAAAGUUUUUAUUUUUUUCCCGUUUUAAAUAAAGAUAUUAUGGACAAAAAAAGUAGAACAUCAUCCAAAAAUGAAAAUUAACAGAUGUCCCACAAAAAAGGAUGGUGUACUGACUUUUGAUGAAAUUUCUGUAAGUUCCUAAUCACUGGUAAUACUCAUUUCUGCACGUUAAAGACACUUGUAGAUUUUCAUAAGAGCAGUCCUAUGUGGCUACAAGGCAGCACUCUUAUCAGCAAAGUGGAAAAGGAUUAAUAUUAGUUGUAAUAAUUUUUUUCCCAAUCCACUAUACAUAAAAAUGAUUAAACUAAAAACAUAAUACAUGUGUUAUAUAAAUAUUUCAGUGAUUAUGGGUUUUACCGACCUGAUGGUAGGGAUGAUUGUGUAGAACAACCUAAUUUCAAUUUACCUAAGGUGGAUGUAUGUAAACAAGGUCACGAAGAACAAGUUAUAACACAGGGGUAGGUAUCAUUAUUUUAAAUCAAUUUAACUGGUCAUGAAGAACAAGUUAUAACACAGGGGUUGUAAUAAUUAUUUUAACUUAAUUUAACUGAAGUUGAUACACCUUAUCGCUAUUUGUCUGCCAUUACAAGACAUCACAAGUGGAAAGUGAUUGUUGUAUGAUGUCCAAAGUUCAAGCGGGACAGAUUAUCGGGUCAAGUGGAAAGAGCGAUAAGCUGAUUUAUGGAAGCAAGAGUCUCUCCCUCAUUGACAUAAAGGUACAUUUUAUCUGAAACUUAUAUCACAUAAGAAAUAAUAUUUAUUGUUUUUUAUAGCAAGUGAGAAUUUGUUAACGGCUCAAAUUUUUAAAUUUCAAUAUAAUAAUGACCAAUAUGUCCUAUUCCUCCUUAAACUUUAAACACACAUGUUUUUUGCCAUAGAUAGGGGCAUAUUUUCCAAAGUAAAAAGUUGUGAAGGAAGAAGACAGAUUACUCAAUACAUAAAAAAAGACUUUCCUGACUAUGGGUGCAAUCAACAGUAUUUUUCUAUGAUGUCAUGUUUUAAGGGACCAUGCAUAUGUGACCCUUACUGGUGGACUGAUUAAUAAAGAUACUUGUAUAAAACUAGAUAUCACUGGAAUCAGAAUGCUCUCUGGUUUAUAAUGAAAUAAAAAUAAUGUGUACUUUUAAUAUAUUAUAAAAAUUUCAUCCAAUGAACAUGGGGGGAAAAAAGGUAUAAUUUUAACAUAAAAAACUUGAAAUCAGGUCAAGUGCACACCCAUGUCAGACAUGAUCCAUGCACAUUUUGCAUAAUCAAAACUGUAUGAAUAUUGUAGGUUUUUACCUGGCCUUUCAAAAAAAUCUUGUUUCAGGGUUCGAUUUCCUGCUCCGAAAAGAGCUACAGUGGCUGCAAAUAAGUUUUCAAUUUUCACUGCUAAAAAAACAGACUGUUUACAGUGUUGUCUCCCCUAGAAACAUGUUUAUUUAAUAUAAUUUUUAAAAUUAUUUCAAUCAUUCAACCUGUUUUGAUUUAAAGCUAAUUAACUAAUUUUUACAAACAAAUACAAAAAACAUGAUACUUUUUCACCAAGUAAGUAAAUAAACAGGGGUUUUCCUCCAUAGUUAUUUUUAGACGGGGAAUAAUCCCUAGUUUUUAGUACGAAACUGUUUAUAGCACCCUAUGAGACAGGUAGCAUUGAUAUAUUGUUUACAGAAUUGUAAUACAAUGUAUUUUGUUUUUUCACAGAUAUAGAAAAAUACCAAAUGAUAAAUGUGUUGGAGGGUUUUCGCCAAGUGGAAAAAUGUUAAAUUUAGGUGAACAGUGUGCAUCAAAACAUGAGGGUCAGAUAGAUGUGGAGGAAGUACCACAAGAAACAAAGG